rnacentral:rRNA from 1 species
GGGAGUGGCAAGCGUUAUCCGGAAUUAUUGGGCGUAAAGCGUCCGCAGGCGGCCCUUCAAGUCUGCUGUUAAAAAGUGGAGCUUAACUCCAUCAUGGCAGUGGAAACUGUUGGGCUUGAGUAUGGUAGGGGCAGAGGGAAUUCCCGGUGUAGCGGUGAAAUGCGUAGAUAUCGGGAAGAACACCAGUGGCGAAGGCGCUCUGCUGGGCCAUUACUGACGCUCAUGGACGAAAGCCAGGGGAGCGAAAGGGAUUAGAUACCCCUGUAGUCCUGGCCGUAAACGAUGAACACUAGGUGUCGGGGGAAUCGACCCCUUCGGUGUCGUAGCUAACGCGUUAAGUGUUCCGCCUGGGGAGUACGCACGCAAGUGUGAAACUCAAAGGAAUUGACGGGGGCCCGCACAAGCGGUGGAGUAUGUGGUUUAAUUCGAUGCAACGCGAAGAACCUUACCAGGGUUUGACAUCCUGCGAACCUCUUAGAAAUUUGAGGGUGCCUUCGGGAAUGCAGUGACAGGUGGUGCAUGGCUGUCGUCAGCUCGUGUCGUGAGAUGUUGGGUUAAGUCCCGCAACGAGCGCAACCCACGUUUUUAGUUGCCAGCAUUUAGUUGGGCACUCUAGAAAGACCGCCGGUGAUAAACCGGAGGAAGGUGUGGAUGACGUCAAGUCAUCAUGCCCCUUACACCCUGGGCUACACACGUACUACAAUGCUACGGACAAAGGGCAGCAAACUCGCGAGAGCUAGCAAAUCCCAUAAACCGUAGCUCAGUUCAGAUCGUAGGCUGCAACUCGCCUACGUGAAGUAGGAAUCGCUAGUAAUCGCAGGUCAGCAUACUGCGGUGAAUACGUUCCCGGGCCUU